rnacentral:rRNA from 1 species
CUUGCUAGAAGAUGACGAGUGGCGGACGGGUGAGUAAUGCUUGGGAACUUGCCUUUGGGAGGGGGAUAACAGUUGGAAACGACUGCUAAUACCGCAUAAUGUCUUCGGACCAAACGGGGCUUCGGCUCCGGCGCAAAGAGAGGCCCAAGUGAGAUUAGCUAGUUGGUAAGGUAACGGCUUACCAAGGCGACUAUCUCUAGCUGUUCUGAGAGGAAGAUCACCCACACUGGGACUGAGACACGGCCCACACUCCUACGGGAGGCAGCAGUGGGGAAUAUUGCACAAUGGGGGAAACCCUGAUGCACCCAUGCCGCGUGUGUGAAGAAGGCCUUCGGGUUGUAAAGCACUUUCAGUUGUGAGGAAAAGUUAAUAUUUAAUACCUGCUACCCGUGACGUUAACAACAGAAGAAGCACCGGCUAACUCCGUGCCAGCAGCCGCGGUAAUACGGAGGGUGCGAGCGUUAAUCGGAAUUACUGGGCGUAAAGCGCACGCAGGC